GGGAGCCGUGUGCGUUAGAGCCGCAUGCACGGUUCGGAGGGAGGGGCAAGGCGCUAAACGCCAUCCCCUACCCUAU
rnacentral:ncRNA from 1 species